rnacentral:rRNA from 1 species
UACGUAGGGGGCAAGCGUUGUCCGGAUUUAUUGGGCGUAAAGAGCGUGUAGGCGGCCAGGUAGGUCAGCUGUGAAAACUCGAGGCUCAACCUCGAGACGUCGGUUGAAACCACCUGGCUAGAGUCCGGAAGAGGAGAGUGGAAUUCCUGGUGUAGCGGUGAAAUGCGCAGAUAUCAGGAAGAACACCCGUGGCGAAGGCGGCUCUCUAGUACGGUACUGACGCUGAGACGCGAAAGCGUGGGGAGCGAACAGG